AUGAUGCCAGGCAACAAAAAGAACAAAGUUAAGAGCAUCGACAAUGUGAUUAAAAGGUUAGGCAAGGUGACAGGGGCCAUAAAGAAGGGCACCGGUGCAGCAGCUUCCACACAGGUGGGCAGGGCCAAACCUGCUCAGCGAGCCACGGUGGAUAGUACCCAGGGUAGACGAUGUGGUCGUACCACUGUAUCCCGUGUUGCUAGCCCUAUCCCCUCCGCCGAUUCUGAGGACGAGUCAGAGGAGGAUGCAGAGGAGGAGCCAGUUGUGGAGGUGGAGCAGACGAGGUCUCGUCGUGAUUGGCAGCAUGUGGAAGGGUCAUCACGUGGUGCGACUCAGGAGGAGGAGGAGGAGGAGGAGGAGGAGGGGGAGGAGUUGGAGGAGGGAGAGUAUGAGGUGGAGGUAUCGGCAAAGGACAUGGAAUGGCCGGUUCCUAAGGAGACCAAAAUAUGGUUGCGUGGGGUGUCCACGCUCCCUUCGCGACCAUAUCCACAUAAGGGGCUCAUUGUCAAACCAGUCAGUGUGAGGGCCUUGCUGGUUGUAGGAGAAGACAUAAAGGUGCCACGCCAGCCAAGUAGCAUCAUUGGAUGUCUUUGCAGGCACUAUUACCCUGGCCUGGUCCCCAUAGGAGAUGGUGAGGAGGAGCCAGCUUGGUCUUGGGAGCAUUGGAAACGCGCUCCAGAUACUAAAGACAAGUGGGACAGGGAGUACAACAAUGCUGCUGACCGGGACUUCUUUACUUGUGCCAAGGGUAUGAAGGAUGAAGCUAAUGAGGUCGUGGAGGCGAUUGCCAAGAAGAUUGUCCAAGACAUGCACUAUGAGGGGCGCGUCGAUGCCGUGGUGAAGUAUUUCGCGCAUGAACGCAACAUGCUUCUCAAAAAGCAACUAGCCCGGAGAGUCCAUCUCACCCGUUCGAUGUACAUGAAGGCAGUUCCCCCGUGGUGCAACAACAAGAUUCCUUGCUAUCAGCAAAUCAUAUCCAGGUGGAUAAACCCGGAGUGGAGGGUCACACAUAGAGCGUGUUCGGAGCGGCGUGCCUUGAUGGGUGGUCCGGUACACCUUCAAGGCAACCUCAACCUCCACGCUUACGUGCAGAAGAAGAAUAGGGAGAGAGGCGAGGGAGAACAACCUCUCAAUAGCUUCAUGGGAUUAUGUCUUUCCCGCACGUCAAAGAAACCUGAAGGGGGGUGGGUCAACCCUGGCGCUGGUUCGAGGAUUAAAGCAUAUAGUGGGAAGUUCAAGGAGUGCAACGGGCCCGACUCUGAUCCGGCCUCACAGGACAUUGACGUCAUGGUUUCCCUCAUGUCGGGAGAAGGCAGGAAGGGUGGCCGGUUAUAUGUUGGUGAUGGUGCCAUCCGUAAGAAGGACAUUCCAAAACUCGCCCACCUCCGUGCUACGACCUCGAGCUCAGGUCCUGCUAUAGAGUGUCGCCCACAUCCUGGGUUGGGCAUGCUACAUCAAUUCGAGGCACGCCUAGAGGAACAAAACAAGUUGCGCAGGAAGAAACCAAGUUGCGGCAGGAGGCUUAGGCCAAUGCCCAACUUCGACAGGACCAAGCCAUGA
rnacentral:rRNA from 1 species